UACGUAGGGUGCGAGCGUUGUCCGGAAUUAUUGGGCGUAAAGAGCUUGUAGGCGGUUUGUCGCGUCUGCUGUGAAAAUCCGGGGCUCAACCCCGGACUUGCAGUGGGUACGGGCAGACUAGAGUGUGGUAGGGGAGACUGGAAUUCCUGGUGUAGCGGUGGAAUGCGCAGAUGUCAGGAGGAACACCGAUGGCGAAGGCAGGUCUCUGGGCCACUACUGACGCUGAGAAGCGAAAGCAUGGGGAGCGAACAGG
rnacentral:rRNA from 1 species